rnacentral:rRNA from 1 species
GACGAACGCUGGCGGCGUGCCUAAUACAUGCAAGUAGAACGCUGAAGGAGGAGCUUGCUUCUCUGGAUGAGUUGCGAACGGGUGAGUAACGCGUAGGUAACCUGCCUGGUAGCGGGGGAUAACUAUUGGAAACGAUAGCUAAUACCGCAUAACAGUAGAUAUCGCAUGAUAUCUACUUGAAAGGUGCAAUUGCAUCACUACCAGAUGGACCUGCGUUGUAUUAGCUAGUUGGUGAGGUAACGGCUCACCAAGGCGACGAUACAUAGCCGACCUGAGAGGGUGAUCGGCCACACUGGGACUGAGACACGGCCCAGACGCCUACGGGAGGCAGCAGUAGGGAAUCUUCGGCAAUGGACGGAAGUCUGACCGAGCAACGCCGCGUGAGUGAAGAAGGUUUUCGGAUCGUAAAGCUCUGUUGUAAGAGAAGAACGAGUGUGAGAGUGGAAAGUUCACACUGUGACGGUAUCUUACCAGAAAGGGACGGCUAACUACGUG